UACAGAGGGUGCGAGCGUUGUCCGGAAUCACUGGGCGUAAAGGGCGCGUAGGCGGCCUGAUAAGUCGGGGGUGAAAUCUUGCGGCUCAACCGCAAGGCUGCCUUCUAAACUGCCAGGCUGGAGCACGGUAGAGGCAGAUGGAAUUCCCGGUGUAGCGGUGGAAUGCGUAGAGAUCGGGAAGAACAUCAGUGGCGAAGGCGGCCUGCUGGGCUGUUGCUGACGCUGAGGCGCGAAAGCGUGGGGAGCAAACAGG
rnacentral:rRNA from 1 species